GUUUAAAUAGUUUAAAAAAAACAUUACAUUUUCAUUGUAAAAUUAGAAUACUCUUUCUUUUAAAUA
rnacentral:tRNA from 1 species